rnacentral:lncRNA from 10 species
UGGUGGCACGAGGAGCCCAUGCAUCUGCUUUUCUCCCUCUGCCAGGCCUCCCUGAAUAAUGGGAGGUCUUGUGUACACACGAAUGAUGCUAUUGAUCCUCCCACUGUGGGCCCCAAGCACUGCCGUUCUUUGUAAGUAGCUGGGGGUUGCGUUUACACUGCUCUCCUCACACACCACCACCUAAUUCCCCCUGGGAUCCAGGGAGCGUAUUUGUACUUGGUUAUAAGUGCAGAGAGCCCUGGAAUCUUUAUCAGGAGAGCAGAAUUUGGGUGGCAGCCUUGUCGCAUACCAGCCUCUCAGGAUCCCUCUCUACCCAGUGGCCUUGCUUUAAGGAUCCCGUACAUGCCAUGCAAAUUGCUGGGUGGAUGAUUCUCUUCUGGACCACGUAACCAUGACUUGGAUAUCCUCUCCUAUGUCCAAAUUGCUUCUAAUCAAUGGUUGAUGAAAGAUGUAAAUGAAUACUAAGUACACUUUAGAAAUAAAAUGAGCUGACAGGUAAGUUAGCAUUCCCCUCAUCACCAGGGGUACACCAAGAGAAAUUAUUUUACUGGGUGAAAGGUUGGAAGUGAAUGGUCUCUGGGCUGGGUGCGAUGGCUCCCCCUAUAAUCUCAGCACUUUGGAAGGCCGAGGCAGGCAGAUCACCUGAGGUCGGCAGUUUGAGAACAGCCUGACCAACAUGAAGAAACCCCGUCUCUACUAAAAAUACAAAAUUAGCCAAGUGUGGUGACGCAUGCCUGUAAUCCCAACUACCUAGGAGGCUGAGGCGGGAGAAUCGCUUGAAUCCAGGAGGCGGAAGUUGUGGUGAGCCAAGAUUGCACCAUUGCACUCCAGCCUGGGCAAGAAGAGCAAAACUCCAUCUCAAUAAGAAGAAGGAGAAGGAGAAGGAGAAGGAGAAGGAGAAGAAGAAGUGGUGAGUGGUCUCUCCAUUCCCUUCCAAAUCACUAUUAGAAAAAACAAAGAACAUAGAAUCAGAGGGCCUGGAUUUAAAAUCUCCCUCUGCUAGUUAGUAACUGAAGCACCUAGCACACAAAGAGACAAGAAAUAUUUGUAGCCAGGCACGGUGGCUCACGCCUGUAAUCUCAGCACUUUGGGAGGCCAGAGUGGUAGGAUCGCUUGAGCCCAGGAGUUCAUGACCAGCCUGGGCAACAUAGGGAGACCCUGUCUCUACAAAUUUUUUUCUUAAAAAUCAGGUGGGUGUGGUGACACAUGCCUGUAGUCCCAGCAAUUCAG